rnacentral:rRNA from 1 species
GAGCGAGAUCUUCGGAUCUAGCGGCGGACGGGUGAGUAACGCGUGGGAACGUGCCUCUUGCUACGGAAUAGCCCUGGGAAACUGGGAGUAAUACCGUAUGUGCCCUUCGGGGGAAAGAUUUAUCGGCAAGAGAUCGGCCCGCGUUGGAUUAGGUAGUUGGUGGGGUAAUGGCCUACCAAGCCGACGAUCCAUAGCUGGUUUGAGAGGAUGAUCAGCCACACUGGGACUGAGACACGGCCCAGACUCCUACGGGAGGCAGCAGUGGGGAAUCUUAGACAAUGGGCGCAAGCCUGAUCUAGCCAUGCCGCGUGAGCGAUGAAGGCCUUAGGGUUGUAAAGCUCUUUCAGCGAGGAAGAUAAUGACUGUACUCGCAGAAGAAGCCCCGGCUAACUCCGUGCCAGCAGCCGCGGUAAUACGGAGGGGGCUAGCGUUGUUCGGAAUUACUGGGCGUAAAGCGCACGUAGGCGGACUGGAAAGUCAGGGGUGAAAUCCCGGGGCUCAACCCCGGAACUGCCUUUGAAACUCCCAGUCUUGAGUUCGAGAGAGGUGAGUGGAAUUCCGAGUGUAGAGGUGAAAUUCGUAGAUAUUCGGAGGAACACCAGUGGCGAAGGCGGCUCACUGGCUCGAUACUGACGCUGAGGUGCGAAAGCGUGGGGAGC